ACGGAGGGUGCAAGCGUUGAUCGGAAUUACUGGGCGUAAAGCGCGCGUAGGUGGCUUGAUAAGCCGGUUGUGAAAGCCCCGGGCUCAACCUGGGAACGGCAUCCGGAACUGUCAAGCUAGAGUGCAGGAGAGGGAGGUAGAAUUCCCGGUGUAGCAGUGAAAUGCGUAGAGAUGUGGAGGAAUACCAAUGGCGAAGGCGGCCUUCUGGAUUGACACUGACACUGAUGCGCGAAAGCGUGAGGAGCAAACAG
rnacentral:rRNA from 1 species